GGUGCACUCACACUAGGCCAUCUGUCCGUGGCCGUGGCCGUUUUCACACCUAACCGUGCUCAAAUCUGCCAGUGUGAGUGUGGCCAGUCUGGCCAGGCCAGGCCAACUUGGCCACUUGGGAGAGGUGUGCUGCUACGGUACGGGCCGCCACGGUACAGAUGCUAAUGAGCCGAUACGCGCACACGCACGGCUACGCAACCUGAGCUGGAUGACGUAUAGUCCAUGCGAUGACCAUGGACAUAAUAAAGGCAACAAGCCUUCUUUCCCAUUAAACGCAACAACCAGUAGCACAACAGACGCUGCUGCUUCCUUGGCCAGGAAGAUAGAGACGCUGGUUGUGAGUGUAAAGAGACGCUCCCAGCGACUUUACAAAGACCAGGACUCAAACAAAGGUCGCGAAAGGACACGCCGGAAGAUCAGGGAGGAGAAAGGGAUCUUGACUGCUGCGGUUCAGCAGUACAACGGAAUGGUUCCGAGCACAGAAACUCUGUGCUUUGAAACCAUUCUGUCUGAAGAGACAGCUUGGCCAUGGCAGCUACCUGGCAAUGGUAGGGACAACAGCUGUUUAAUACUCCCAGCAAAUGUGGCACACUUUUCAUGGAUUAUAUUCGAUUUAUUUAGAUCUUUCAUACAUAUGAAUGAAAGUCUUUUCAUAAAUGCUUCACAGAUUCUGUCGACCUCAGGACGAAGAGGAGAGUUUAUGACUGUGUCAUAAACUCUCCUUUUGUUAGAGAUGAACCACCACUGGAGGUCCUUAACAGUUCGUGGGGAUUCCUUAAAAGACCUGAUUUCUAGGACAACAAUGCAAGGUAUUUUUUUAGAUUUUACAUCACAUGAAUGUACACAUCAAAGUCACUAAUGCUGGCUUGGUUUUAUGUUCAAGAUGCACAGUGGGCAAGAUUCAAAUAGUCAAUAUUUUGCUUGGUUGUAAUGCAUACAACCAAGCAAGUAUACUAAUGGAAUAGUGAUGGCAAUUGUAUUGAUAAAAUAUGCAAAAUAUGGAAUGUGGUUAACUUGUAGAAGGUGUUCAAGUAAGGUUCUCGUGGCACACACCGUAACAGUGUAUACAAAAAAACAUUGCAUUUAAACUAGGGCUAUCGACCGUCAAGCGAUUAAAAUAUUUAAUCACGAUUAAUCGCAUUAAUGCCAUAGUGUGCAUUCUUCUCAUGUGCAUU
rnacentral:lncRNA from 1 species